GACGAACGCUGGCGGCGUGCCUAACACAUGCAAGUCGAGCGGGAACCUGAGGAGGGGUAACCCUCUUCAGGGGAGAGCGGCGAACGGGUGAGUAUCACGUGGGCAACCUGCCCCGGACUCCGGGAUAACCCAGGGAAACCUGAGCUAAUACCGGAUACUCCGGUUGGAUCGCAUGGUCCGACCGGGAAAGCUCCGACGGUCCGGGCUGGGCCCGCGGCCUAUCAGCUUGGUGGUGGGGUAACGGCCCACCAAGGCGACGACGGGUAGCUGGUCUGAGAGGACGGGCAGCCACACUGGGACUGGGACACGGCCCAGACUCCUACGGGAGGCAGCAGUGGGGAAUAUUGCGCUAAUGCGCGAAAGCGUGAUCCAGCCAUGCCGCGUGUGUGAAGAAGGUCUUCGGAUUGUAAAGCACUUUAAGUUGGGGGGAAGGGCAGUAAGCUAAUACCUUGCUGUUUUGACGUUACCGACAGAAUAAGCACCGGCUAACUCUGUGCCAGCAGCCGCGGUAACAC
rnacentral:rRNA from 1 species